UACAGAGGAGCCAAGCGUUGUCCGGAUUGACUGGGCGUAAAGCGCACGCAGGCGGUGGUGCGCGUGGGGUGUGAAAUCUGGCCGCUUAACGGCCAGGCGCCAUCCCAUACGGCACGACUGGAGGGCUGCAGAGGUCGAUGGAAUUGCCGGUGUAGUGGUGAAAUGCGUAGAGAUCGGCAGGAGCACCCAGGGGGAAACCAGUCGACUGGGCAGCACCUGACGCUGAGGUGCGAGAGCGUGGGGAGCGAACGGA
rnacentral:rRNA from 1 species